GACGGAGGAUGCAAGCGUUAUCCGGAAUGAUUGGGCGUAAAGCGUCCGCAGGUGGCAGUUCAAGUCUGCUGUCAAAGACCGGGGCUUAACUUCGGAAAGGCAGUGGAAACUGAACAGCUAGAGUAUGGUAGGGGCAGAGGGAAUUCCUGGUGUAGCGGUGAAAUGCGUAGAGAUUGGGAAGAACACCGGUGGCGAAAGCGCUCUGCUGGACUGCAACUGACACUGAGGGACGAAAGCUAGGGGAGCGAAUGGG
rnacentral:rRNA from 1 species